rnacentral:sRNA from 1 species
GGCAGGGGCUUGCGCUCAGGCAUACAGUCUCUUCGGAAGAGCUCCCGGAGUCAGACCCUCCCUGCGGGCGGGGAACUGUAUCGGAUUUCGCGCAAUGAGCGAUCCACACGGCGCAAGUC